rnacentral:snRNA from 1 species
GUAUUUGCAGUAUCACGUUUACUAAAGUUGGGAUGAUACACAGAAGAUUAGCAUAGCCCCUGUACAAGGAUGACAUACUUUCCAUAUAUAUAAUAUAUAUAGUA